CGCUGGCGGCGUGCUUAACACAUGCAAGUCGAGCGAUGAAGCACCUUCGGGUGUGAAUUAGCGGCGAACGGGUGAGGAACACGUGAGAAAUCUGCCUUCAACACUGGGAUAACUCCGGGAAACCGGGGCUAAUACCGGAUAUGAGCCUGGAAGACAUCUUCUGGGUUGGAAAGUUUUUCGGUUAGGGAUGGGCUCGCGGCCUAUCAGCUAGUUGGUGAGGUAAAGGCUCACCAAGGCGACGACGGGUAUCCGGCCUGAGAGGGCGACCGGACACACUGGGACUGAGACACGGCCCAGACUCCUACGGGAGGCAGCAGUGGGGAAUAUUGCGCAAUGGGCGAAAGCCUGACGCAGCGACGCCGCGUGAGGGAUGAAGGUCUUCGGAUUGUAAACCUCUUUCAGCAGGGACGAAGCGAAAGUGACGGUACCUGAAGAAGAAGCACCGGCUAACUAUGUG
rnacentral:rRNA from 1 species